rnacentral:rRNA from 1 species
GAUCAAAAUUUAUCAAUGGAGCUAAGAUUAGUACCGCAAGGGAACCCUGAAAAAACAAUGAAAUAUACAGUAAAACAAAGCAAAGACUAACCCUUGUACCUCUUGCAUCAUGGUUUAGCAAGCAUAAAACAGACAAGAUGACCAAGCCUGUACUCCCGAAAUUAAGUGAGCUACCACAGGGCAGUCUACCGAACCAACCCGUCCCUGUAGCAAAAGGGUGGGAAGACCUUGUGGUAGUGGUGAAAAGCCUACCGAACUUAAUGAUAGCUGGUUGCCUGAGAAAAGAAUACAAGUUCAAUUUUAGUUUUUAACCACACAUUAUAGUAACAAAUAAAACUAAAAAAUAUUCAAUGAGGGUACAGCCUCACUGAAACAGGAUACAACCUGAACUAGAGAGCACAUAACAAAUAAUAUACCGUAGGCCUUCAAACAGCCACCAAUAACAAAAGCGUCACAGCAUAAUUAAAUCAAAUACCAAAAAACACCUACACCUCCUAACUCAUAUCAGGCUAUUCUAUAUUAAUAUAGAAAAACUAAUGCUAGAACUAGUAACAAGAAAUAAUUCUCUUCACAUACCUGUAAACCAGAAAUAGAACAACUACUGGAAAUUAACAACAAGUAGAAUAAAUAUAAUAGACUACUACAAACUGUUAUACCAACACAGGGGUGUAAAAAAGAAAGAUUAAACACUAAAGAAGGAACUCGGCAACAACAGCCCCAACUGUUUACCAAAAACAUAGCCUUUAGCAAGCCCCAAGUAUUAAAGGUAACGCCUGCCCAGUGAAUUAUUUAACGGCCGCGGUAUCCUAACCGUGCAAAGGUAGCGUAAUCACUUGUCCUCUAAAUAGGGACCAGUAUGAAUGGCUAAAUGAGGGCUGUACUGUCUCCUUUAGUUAAUCAGUGAAACUGAUCUACCAGUACAAAAGCUGGUAUUAAAACAUAAGACGAGAAGACCCUGUGGAGCUUUAAAUCUUAUGCCACUAUACAAAAGAUGGCAAAAAUUUUAAGUUGGGGCGACUUCGGAAAAAAAUAAAACUUCCGAGCAUAGAAACUUCUAACAGAGGCCAACAAGCCAAAGCAAAAUAUGACCCAGUCAAACUGACUAACGAACCAAGUUACCCCAGGGAUAACAGCGCUAUCUUCUUCAAGAGUUCUUAUCGACAAGAAGGUUUACGACCUCGAUGUUGGAUCAGGACACCCCAAUGGUGCAGCCGCUAUUAAAGGUUCGUUUGUUCAACGAUUAACAGUCCUACGUGAUCUGAGUUCAGACCGGAGUAAUCCAGGUCGGUUUCUAUCUAUGAUAUGGCCUUUCUUAGUACGAAAGGACCAGAAAGGCAAGACCACUGCAAAACAUGUCUUCCACAAAAGGCUGAAAACAACUAAAGCUUAACACAUACCACCAACCCCACAAAUAAUGGGCUUA